UGUGGUGGCGAUAGCAAGAAGGAUACACCUGUUCCCAUGCCGAACACAGAAGUUGCUUCUUCACGCCGAGAGUAGUUGGUGGGAAACUGCCUGCGAGGGUAGGAAGCUGCCACGC
rnacentral:rRNA from 1 species